rnacentral:ncRNA from 2 species
UACCCUGCGCACGCCUCAGGUGCCCCGCGCGGCUGUCGUCGCAAGGGGUGAAACGGGAAGUCCGGUGCGCAUGACCGCCUCACGGUGAUGCAAUUCCGGCGCUGCCCCCGCAACGGUAAGCGAGUCGUAGCGCUCCAUUCAGCCACUGUGCCCCACGCACGGGAAGGCGGAUCGCACACACCCCCUCGCAAGCCCGGAGACCGGCCUGGCGCGCAAGGUCUUU